GGGCCUAGAGCCCAGCUGGUUUAGAGCGCACGCCGGAUAAGCGUGAGGUCGAUGGUUCGAGUCCAUUUAGGCCCA
rnacentral:tRNA from 1 species